GUAGAUAACCUACUAUAUAUAUGGGGUACCGCCGAUUCUUCAUCGGCUUCCAAGCCGGCUCCAGUGCUCCAGAGCCCGGGCGCAGCGCCUCUGACCCUCGGUAAUACAGCCUCCGGUAAAAGUGAAAAUCAAAAUGUUUGUUUUUAUUUUUCCCGUUUUUAAAAUAU